GCAGCCGCCGCGGUAAUACGAAGGGUGCAAGCGUUACUCGGAAUUACUGGGCGUAAAGCGUGCGUAGGUGGUGGUUUAAGUCCGUUGUGAAAGCCCUGGGCUCAACCUGGGAAUUGCAGUGGAUACUGGAUCACUAGAGUGUGGUAGAGGAUAGUGGAAUUUCCGGUGUAGCAGUGAAAUGCGUAGAGAUCGGAAGGAACAUCUGUGGCGAAGGCGACUAUCUGGGCCAACACUGACACUGAGGCACGAAAGCGUGGGGAGCAAACAGGAUUAGAUACCCCUGUAGUCCCUGUCUCUUAUA
rnacentral:rRNA from 1 species